GACGAACGCUGGCGGCGUGCUUAACACAUGCAAGUCGAACGGAAAGGCCCUGCUUUUGUGGGGUGCUCGAGUGGCGAACGGGUGAGUAACACGUGAGUAACCUGCCCUUGACUUUGGGAUAACUUCAGGAAACUGGGGCUAAUACCGGAUAGGAGCUCCUGCUGCAUGGUGGGGGUUGGAAAGUUUCGGCGGUUGGGGAUGGACUCGCGGCUUAUCAGCUUGUUGGUGGGGUAGUGGCUUACCAAGGCUUUGACGGGUAGCCGGCCUGAGAGGGUUACCGGCCACAUGGGGACUGAGAGACGGCCCAGACUCCUACGGGAGGCAGCAGUGGGGAAUAUUGCACAAUGGGCGGAAGCCUGAUGCAGAAACGCCGCGUGCGGGAUGACGGCCUUCGGGUUGUAAACCGCUUUCGCCUGUGACGAAGCGUGAGUGACGGUAAUGGGUAAAGAAGCACCGGCUAACUACGUG
rnacentral:rRNA from 1 species